CCUACGGGUGGCAGCAGUAGGGAAUCUUCGUCAAUGGGCGCAAGCCUGAACGAGCAAUGCCGCGUGAACGAGGAAGGUCUUCGGAUCGUGAAGUUCUGUUGAAGGGGAAAAAGAGCGGAGCGAGGGAAUGCUUUCUGAUUGAUAUUACCCUUCGAGGAAGUCACGGCUAACUACGUGCCCGAAGCCGCGGUAAUACGGAGGAUGGGGGGGUUAUCCGGAUUUAUUGGGUUAAAAGGGUGCGUAGGCGGAAUGCCAAGUCAGCGGUAAAAUCGCGGGGCUCAACCUCGCUCCGCCGUUGAAACUGGCGUUCUUGAGUGGGCGAGAAGUAUGCGGAAUGCGUGGUGUAGCGGUGAAAUGCAUAGAUAUCACGCAGAACUCCGAUUGCGAAGGCAGCAUACCGGCGCCCAACUGACGCUGAAGCACGAAAGCGUGGGUAUCGAACAGGAUUAGAUACCCCUGUAGUC
rnacentral:rRNA from 1 species